rnacentral:rRNA from 1 species
GAUGAACGCUGGCGGCGUGCCUAAUACAUGCAAGUCGAGCGAACAGAUGAGGAGCUUGCUCCUCUGACGUUAGCGGCGGACGGGUGAGUAACACGUGGAUAACCUACCUAUAAGACUGGGAUAACUUCGGGAAACCGGAUCUAAUACCGGAUAAUAUAUUGAACCGCAUGGUUCAAUAGUGAAAGACGGUUUUGCUGUCACUUAUAGAUGGAUCCGCGCCGCAUUAGCUAGUUGGUAAGGUAACGGCUUACCAAGGCAACGAUGCGUAGCCGACCUGAGAGGGUGAUCGGCCACACUGGAACUGAGACACGGUCCAGACUCCUACGGGAGGCAGCAGUAGGGAAUCUUCCGCAAUGGGCGAAAGCCUGACGGAGCAACGCCGCGUGAGUGAUGAAGGUCUUCGGAUCGUAAAACUCUGUUAUUAGGGAAGAACAAAUGUGUAAGUAACUAUGCACGUCUUGACGGUACCUAAUCAGAAAGCCACGGCUAACUACGUG